rnacentral:lncRNA from 1 species
GGGCUUGAAUUUGGGGAUUCGAGCUUCCGUUGCCUUCGGGCACUGUUUGCUUUCCUUUUUUGCUUGGGUUUUUUUUUCUCUGCUGAAGUCGGAGCUAAGUUCGGCUCCCUUGGGAGUCCGAACGGAGAAGCCCUCCUGAAGUUGGAGUAGCCUGGCUCUCGUAGGGGUCAGGGCGAAGUCUUCCUGCAAUCAAAGUCGUAGGCAAAGUCCGGGUCCCGUAGGG